GACGAACGCUGGCGGCGUGCCUAAUACAUGCAAGUUGAGCGCUGAAGGUUGGUACUUGUACCAACUGGAUGAGCAGCGAACGGGUGAGUAACGCGUGGGGAAUCUGCCUUUGAGCGGGGGACAACAUUUGGAAACGAAUGCUAAUACCGCAUAAAAACUUUAAACACAAGUUGUAAGUUUGAAAGAUGCAAUUGCAUCACUCAAAGAUGAUCCCGCGUUGUAUUAGCUAGUUGGUGAGGUAAAGGCUCACCAAGGCGAUGAUACAUAGCCGACCUGAGAGGGUGAGCGGCCACAUUGGGACUGAGACACGGCCCAAACUCCUACGGGAGGCAGCAGUAGGGAAUCUUCGGCAAUGGACGAAAGUCUGACCGAGCAACGCCGCGUGAGUGAAGAAGGUUUUCGGAUCGUAAAACUCUGUUGGUAGAGAAGAACGUUGGUGAGAGUGGAAAGCUCAUCAAGUGACGGUAACUACCCAGAAAGGGACGGCUAACUACGUG
rnacentral:rRNA from 1 species